rnacentral:rRNA from 1 species
AAUGAACGUUGGCGGCGUGGAUUAGGCAUGCGAGUCGUGCGAGAACCGUAGCAAUACGGGGACAGCGGCGAAAGGGAGAGGAACACGUGGAUACCUACCCUCAGGUUCAGGAUAGCUAUGGGAAACUAUAGGUAAUACUGAAUAAUAUCUCCGGAUCAAAGGUGUGAUUCCGCCGGAGGAGGGGUCCGCGUCCUAUUAGCUAGUUGGUGAGGUAAUGGCUCACCAAGGCGAAGAUGGGUACGGGAUGUGAGAGCAUGAUCCCGCUCAUUGGGACUGAGACACUGCCCAGACACCUACGGGUGGCUGCAGUCGAGAAUCUUCGGCAAUGGGGGAAACCCGUAGACCGACGCGACGCCGCGUGUGAGAUGAA